AGCGAACGCUGGCGGCAGGCUUAACACAUGCAAGUCGAACGCAUCCUUCGGGGUGAGUGGCAGACGGGUGAGUAACACGUGGGAACGUACCUCUUUGUUCGGAAUGGCUUUUGGAAACGAAAGGUAAUACCGGAUACGCCCUUUUGGGGAAAGAUUUAUCGCAGAGAGAUCGGCCCGCGUCUGAUUAGCUAGUUGGUGAGGUAAUGGCUCACCAAGGCGACGAUCAGUAGCUGGUCUGAGAGGAUGAUCAGCCACACUGGGACUGAGACACGGCCCAGACUCCUACGGGAGGCAGCAGUGGGGAAUAUUGGACAAUGGGCGCAAGCCUGAUCCAGCCAUGCCGCGUGAGUGAUGAAGGCCUUAGGGUUGUGAAGCUCUUUCGUCCGGGAAGAUAAUGACUGUACCGGAAGAAUAAGCCCCGGCUAACUUCGUGCCAGCCGCCGCCGUAA
rnacentral:rRNA from 1 species